AUGACCCUGAAUAAAGGCCAGCAGUCUUUUGAAGCUUUUGGUUUCAAGCAGGAAAGAGCCUGAAGUGGUAUCUUUCUAUGGUGCAUUGGCCAUUUCAGAACUUUAGAAAUGCAAUGGUUAAUUCAUUAGAAAGAAUAAACU
ensembl:snoRNA